GCGCCCGUGGCUCAACUGGAUAGAGCACCACGCUACGAACGUGGGGGUUGGGAGUUCAAGUCUCUCCGGGCGCACCA
rnacentral:tRNA from 1 species